CCUACGGGUCGCUGCAGUGGGGAAUAUUGCACAAUGGGGGAAACCCUGAUGCAGCGAUGCCGCGUGGAGGAAGAAGGUUUUCGGAUUGUAAACUCCUUUUAUUAGGGACGAUAAUGACUGUACCUGAAGAAAAAGCUCCGGCUAACUACGUGCCAGCAGCCGCGGUAAUACGUAGGGAGCGGGCGUUGUCCGGAAUUACUGGGGUGAAAGGGGGAGUAGGCGGGAUGGCAAGGCAGAGGUGAAAACUGAGGGCUCAACUUUCAGACGGCAUUUGAAACUGUUGUUCUUGAGUGAAGUAGAGGUAAGCGGAAUUCCGGGUGUAGCGGUGAAAUGCGUAGAUAUUAGGAGGAACAUCGGUGGCGAAGGCGGCUUACUGGGCUUUUACUGACGCUGAGGCUCGAAAGCGUGGGGAGCAAACAGGAUUAGAUACCCGUGUAGUC
rnacentral:rRNA from 1 species